ensembl:snoRNA
GGUUGCUCAAAGUCACCCCUGGCUCCGACCACGGCUAUGGGUGACAUUUGGUGCCAGAGUCACCAGAAACCUCAGCUCACCUCCCAUUGCGUCAGUGUCAGGUGGUAAAUCCAGGACCCACUGAU